rnacentral:rRNA from 1 species
GACGAACGCUGGCGGCGUGCCUAAUACAUGCAAGUUGAGCGCUGAAGGUUGGUACUUGUACCAACUGGAUGAGCAGCGAACGGGUGAGUAACGCGUGGGGAAUCUGCCUUUGAGCGGGGGACAACAUUUGGAAACGAAUGCUAAUACCGCAUAAAAACUUUAAACACAAGUUUUAAGUUUGAAAGAUGCAAUUGCAUCACUCAAAGAGGAUCCCGCGUUGUAUUAGCUAGUUGGUGAGGUAAAGGCUCACCAAGGCGAUGAUACAUAGCCGACCUGAGAGGGUGGUCGGCCCAAUUGGGACUGGGACACGGCCCAAACUCCUAAGGGGGGCAGCAGUAGGGAAUCUUCGGCAAUGGACGAAAGUCUGACCGCGCAACGCCGCGUGAGUGAAGAAGGGUUUCGGAUCGUAAAACUCUGUUGGUAGAGAAGAAAGUUGGUGAGAGUGGAAAGCUCAUCAAGUGACGGUAACUACACAGAAAGGGACGGCUAACUACGUG